rnacentral:rRNA from 1 species
UACGUAGGGGGCUAGCGUUGUCCGGAAUCAUUGGGCGUAAAGAGCGCGUAGGCGGCCCGGUAAGUCCGCUGUAAAAGUCAAAGGCUCAACCUUUGAAUGUCAGUGGAUACUGCCGGGCUAGAGUCCGGAAGAGGCGAGUGGAACUCCUGGUGUAGCGGUGGAAUGCGCAGAUAUCAGGAGGAACACCGGUGGCGAAGGCGGGACUCUGGGCCGAUACUGACGCUGAGGAGCGAAAGCGUGGGGAGCAAACAGG